GAUAACAUUGUAAACUAAUGGUAACAUAUAUUGAUAAGAGUUGAUAAUAUCUAUGGUAAUAAUAUUAGUCUGGCUGAUAUGUAGAUCUGUUUGUGUGUGUGUGUGUGUGUGUGUGUGUGUGUUCGUGGGUUGCGCUGCGAGACAGAGUAUGAAAUAGCGAGCGGCGCAGGCUGCGGUAAGUGACGGGGAUGGAGUAGCGAGCGAUGCGUGCUAUGGUGAGUGGCGGUGGUGGAGUACCGAGCAGCUGCAGUUAGUGGCGGGGAUGACACCAGCACCAGCACCAACACUAGAACCAGGAUCGGCAUUUUUAUUCUACUAAAUGGGCUUUUUAGAAUUUCAACAUAGUGUUUAAAAUGUAAAACAAACAAAAGUAAAUUUAUUAAAACUCCCG